rnacentral:tRNA from 1 species
UGUCCAGGGAUGGGAUUCGAACCCACAAUGUUCCGCUUACCGGGAAGAUGCCAUGUCCACUAGGCUACCCUGGGC